AUUGAACGCUGGCGGCAGGCCUAACACAUGCAAGUCGAACGAGUGGCGGACGGGUGAGUAAUGUCUGGGAAACUGCCCGAUGGAGGGGGAUAACUACUGGAAACGGUAGCUAAUACCGCAUACCCUCGGAUGUGCCCAGAUGGGAUGAGCUAGUAGGUGGGGUAACGGCUCACCUAGGCGACGAUACCUAGCUGGUCGGAGAGGAGGACCGGCCACAGUGGAACGGAACAACGGUCCGGACGCCUACGGGAGGAAGAGGUGGGGAAUAUUGCACAAUGGGCGCAAGCCGGAUGCAGCAAUGCCGCGUGUAUGAAGAAGGCCUGCGGGUUGUAAAGUACUUGCAGCGAGGAGGCGUUACUCGCAGAAGAAGCACCGGCUAACUCCGUGCCAGCCGCCGCGGUAAUAC
rnacentral:rRNA from 1 species